GGGUGGAACCACCUCAAGGGUGUCCAAUCUCAUUCAUCUUGUACAUGGAUGAAUUUAAAAGACAAUCUCAUCGAUCUAAGAUUAGCGGCAGCAAUUAUACCCACUCGAUCAUUAUCAUAUGUUUAAACUGAAUAUAAUGCGAGAUUACAUAAGAAGUUGUUAAAUUAACCACAAUUAUAACCAUUGCCGUGCAGUUAAUAUAUAUUUCAUCCAUUUCGAUAAUAGUUAUCAAAUUUUUUCUAUAAAUAAGGAUAAAUAGAGCCCCCUCAUA
rnacentral:lncRNA from 1 species